UACAGAGGUCUCAAGCGUUGUUCGGAUUCAUUGGGCGUAAAGGGUGCGUAGGCGGCGCGGUAAGUCGGGUGUGAAAUCUUGGAGCUUAACUCCGAAACUGCAUUCGAUACUGCCGUGCUUGAGGACUGGAGAGGAGACUGGAAUUUACGGUGUAGCGGUGAAAUGCGUAGAGAUGUGGAGGAACACCGAUGGCGAAGGCAGCCCCCUGGGCUAACACUGACGCCUCAGGCACGAAAGCGUGGGGAGCAAACAGGAUAGAUAC
rnacentral:rRNA from 1 species